AUACUUACCUGGACGGAGUCAAUGAACGAUAAAAAAAACUCAUGGCCUAGGGUAGUGACCUACAUUGCACUUGAUAGGGGUGCUGCUCUAAGGUCUCCUCAAUAGAGAGAGCCUACGUCAUAAUUUGUGGUAGAGGGGACUUGCAUUCGCGUUAAAAUAUUUCUUA